GUCAAGCGAAUAAGCGCAUACGGUGGAUGCCUAGGCGGUAAGAGGCGAUGAAGGACGUAGUAGUCUGCGAUAAGCUUCGGGGAGUCGACAAACAGACUUUGAUCCGGAGAUUUCCGAAUGGGGAAACCCACUGCUUCGGCAGUAUCUGUAUCUGAAUUCAUAGGGUAUAGAGGCGAACCGGGAGAACUGAAACAUCUAAGUACCCGGAGGAGAAGAAAACAAAAGUGAUUCCGAUAGUAGCGGCGAGCGAAAUUGGAUUAGUCCAAACCGUACAUGUUUCGGCAUGUGCGGGGUUGUAGGACCACGAUAUUCGAAAUGUAAUGAACUAGAACGCUUUGGAAAUAGCGACCAUAGAGGGUGAUAGUCCCGUAUAGGUAAAGAGCAUUUAGAUAGUGGUAUCCUGAGUAGUGCGGGGCACGUGAAACCCUGUAUGAAUCUGCCGGGACCAUCCGGUAAGGCUAAAUACUCCUGAGAGACCGAUAGUGAACAAGUACCGUGAGGGAAAGGUGAAAAGCACCCCGAUGAGGG
rnacentral:rRNA from 1 species